rnacentral:rRNA from 1 species
GAUGAACGCUGGCGGCGUGCCUAAUACAUGCAAGUCGAGCGAACGGACGAGAAGCUUGCUUCUCUGAUGUUAGCGGCGGACGGGUGAGUAACACGUGGAUAACCUACCUAUAAGACUGGGAUAACUUCGGGAAACCGGGGCUAAUACUGGAUAAUAUUUUGAACCGCAUGGUUCAAAAGUGAAAGACGGUCUUGCUGUCACUUAUAGAUGGAUCCGCGCUGCAUUAGCUAGUUGGUAAGGUAACGGCUUACCAAGGCAACGAUGCAUAGCCGACCUGAGAGGGUGAUCGGCCACACUGGAACUGAGACACGGUCCAGACUCCUACGGGAGGCAGCAGUAGGGAAUCUUCCGCAAUGGGCGAAGGCCUGACGGAGCAACGCCGCGUGAGUGAUGAAGGUCUUCGGAUCGUAAAACUCUGUUAUUAGGGAAGAACAUAUGUGUAAGUAACUGUGCACAUCUUGACGGUACCUAAUCAGAAAGCCACGGCUAACUACGUG